rnacentral:rRNA from 1 species
CCGCGGGAUUAGAGUUUGAUCCUGGCUCAGAUUGAACGCUGGCGGCAGGCUUAACACAUGCAAGUCGAGCGGGGAAGAGUAGCUUGCUACAUUACCUAGCGGCGGACGGGUGAGUAAUGCUUAGGAAUCUGCCUAUUAGUGGGGGACAACAUCUCGAAAGGGAUGCUAAUACCGCAUACGUCCUACGGGAGAAAGCAGGGGACCUUCGGGCCUUGCGCUAAUAGAUGAGCCUAAGUCGGAUUAGCUAGUUGGUGGGGUAAAGGCCUACCAAGGCGACGAUCUGUAGCGGGUCUGAGAGGAUGAUCCGCCACACUGGGACUGAGACACGGCCCAGACUCCUACGGGAGGCAGCAGUGGGGAAUAUUGGACAAUGGGGGGAACCCUGAUCCAGCCAUGCCGCGUGUGUGAAGAAGGCCUUUUGGUUGUAAAGCACUUUAAGCGAGGAGGAGGCUACCGAGAUUAAUACUCUUGGAUAGUGGACGUUACUCGCAGAAUAAGCACCGGCUAACUCUGUGCCAGCAGCCGCGGUAAUACAGAGGGUGCAAGCGUUAAUCGGAUUUACUGGGCGUAAAGCGCGCGUAGGUGGCCAAUUAAGUCAAAUGUGAAAUCCCCGAGCUUAACUUGGGAAUUGCAUUCGAUACUGGUUGGCUAGAGUAUGGGAGAGGAUGGUAGAAUUCCAGGUGUAGCGGUGAAAUGCGUAGAGAUCUGGAGGAAUACCGAUGGCGAAGGCAGCCAUCUGGCCUAAUACUGACACUGAGGUGCGAAAGCAUGGGGAGCAAACAGGAUUAGAUACCCUGGUAGUCCAUGCCGUAAACGAUGUCUACUAGCCGUUGGGGCCUUUGAGGCUU